UGGGGAAUCUUAGACAAUGGGCGCAAGCCUGAUCUAGCCAUGCCGCGUGAGUGAUGAAGGCCCUAGGGUCGUAAAGCUCUUUCACCUGUGAAGAUAAUGACGGUAUCAGUAGAAGAAACCCCGGCUAACUCCGUGCCAGCAGCCGCGGUAAUACGGAGGGGGUUAGCGUUGUUCGGAAUUACUGGGCGUAAAGCGUACGUAGGCGGAUUAAUAAGUUAGAGGUGAAAUCCCAGGGCUCACCCUGGAACUGCCUUUAAAACUGUUAGUCUUGAGAUCGAGAGAGGUGAGUGGAAUUCCAAGUGUAGAGGUGAAAUUCGUAGAUAUUUGGAGGAACACCAGUGGCGAAGGCGGCUCACUGGCUCGAUACUGACGCUGAGGUACGAAAGUGUGGGGAGCAAACAGGAUUAGAUACCCUGGUAGUCCACACCGUAAACGAUGAAUGCCAGACGUCAGCAAGCAUGCUGUGUCUG
rnacentral:rRNA from 1 species